AACGUAGGACACAAGCGUUAUCCGGAAUUACUGGGCGUAAAGGGCGUGCAGGCGGUUGCGUAAGUUAGGCGUGAAAGACUUCGGCUAAACCGGGGGAGGUCGUCUGAUACUGCGCAACUAGAGUAUGGUAGAGGCGUGUAGAAUUCCGGGUGUAGUGGUGAAAUGCGUAGAGAUCCGGAGGAAUACCAGUGGCGAAGGCGGCACACUGGGCCAUAACUGACGCUAAGACGCGAAAGCAUGGGUAGCGAACGGG
rnacentral:rRNA from 1 species